rnacentral:rRNA from 1 species
AUACGUAGGGUGCAAGCGUUAAUCGGAAUUACUGGGCGUAAAGCGUGCGCAGGCGGUUUUGUAAGACAGGGGUGCAAUCCCCGGGGUCAACCCUGGGACUGCCAUUGUGAAUGCAAGGCGGGAGUGCGGCCGAGGGGGAUUGAAAUCCGCGUGUAGCAGGGAAAUGCGUAGAUAUGGGGAGGAACACCGAUGGCGAAGGCAAUCCCCUGGGCCUGCACUGACGCUCAUGCACGAAAGCGUGGGGAGCAAACAGGAUUAGAUACCCUGGUAGUCCACUCCCUAAACGAUGUCAACUGGUUGUUGGGGAUUUAUUUUCUCAGUAACGAAGCUAACGCGUGAAGUUGACCGCCUGGGGAGUACGGCCGCAAGGUUAAAACUCAAAGGAAUUGACGGGG